rnacentral:rRNA from 1 species
CAGUAGCCGCGGUAAUACGUAGGUCCCGAGCGUUGUCCGGAUUUAUUGGGCGUAAAGCGAGCGCAGGCGGUUAGAUAAGUCUGAAGUUAAAGGCUGUGGCUUAACCAUAGUACGCUUUGGAAACUGUUUAACUUGAGUGCAAGAGGGGAGAGUGGAAUUCCAUGUGUAGCGGUGAAAUGCGUAGAUAUAUGGAGGAACACCGGUGGCGAAAGCGGCUCUCUGGUCUGUAACUGACGCUGAGGCUCGAAAGCGUGGGGAGCGAACAGGAUUAGAUACCCCGUAGUCCCUGUCUCUUAUACAC